GACGUAGGGCGCGAGCGUUGUCCGGAUUUAUUGGGCGUAAAGAGCUCGUAGGCGGCUUGUUACGUCGACUGUGAAAUCCCGCGGCUCAACUGCGGGCUUGCAGCCGAUACGGGCAGGCUAGAGUUCGGUAGGGGAGACUGGAAUUCCUGGUGUAGCGGUGAAAUGCGCAGAUAUCAGGAGGAACACCGGUGGCGAAGGCGGGUUGCUGGGCUGACACUGACGCUGACAGCGCGAAAGCUAGGGGAGCGAACGGG
rnacentral:rRNA from 1 species